GGCGCAGUGGACGAAGUGGAAGAGUCGCCGCGUUUUCACCGCGGAGUGUGCGGGUUCGAGUCCCGUCUGCGCUA
rnacentral:tRNA from 1 species